UUUAACUGAGCGUUCAGUUACUUGACGUAGACCCGAAACCGGGCGACCUACCCAUGAGCAGGAUGAAGCGAAAGUAAAAUUUCGUGGAGGUCCGAACCCACGAGCGUUGAAAAGCUCGGGGAUGACUUGUGGGUAGCGGUGAAAUUCCAAUCGAGCCCGGAGAUAGCUGGUUCUCCCCGAAAUAGCUUUAGGGCUAGCCUCAAGGUGAGAGAUACGGAGGUAGAGCACUGAAUGUCCUAGGGGGUAUUGCACCUACCGAAGACUAUCAAACUCCGAAUGCCGUCAUCUUAUACUUGGGAGUCAGACUGUGGGUGAUAAGAUUCAUAGUCGAAAGGGCAACAGCCCAGAUCGUCAGCUAAGGUCCCUAAAUGUAAGUUAAGUGGUAAAGGAUGUGGGAUUGCACAGACAACCAGGAUGUUGGCUUAGAAGCAGCCACUCAUUCAAAGAGUGCGUAAUAGCUCACUGGUCGAGUGAUCCUGCGCCGAAGAUUUCCGGGGCUAAAACUUACUACCGAAGCUACGGCAUCAGUAAUG
rnacentral:rRNA from 1 species